GACGAACGCUGGCGGCGUGCUUAACACAUGCAAGUCGAACGAGGAAGAAGCGCAACGCGAACUUCGGUUCAAAUCUCACUUCGGGUUAGUGGCAGACGGGUGAGGAACGCGUGAGCAACCUACCUCUUACAAAGGGAUAGCCUCGGGAAACCGUGAUUAAUACCAUAUGUCACAUUCAUAAGGUAUCUUAAGAAUGUUAAAGCUACGGCGGUGAGAGAUGGGCUCGCGUCCACUUAGCUAGUUGGUGAGGUAACGGCCCACCAAGGCGACGAUGGGUAACCGGGCUGGGAGGGUGAACGGUCACAUUGGAACUGAGACACGGUCCAAACUCCUGCGGGAGGCAGCAGUGGGGGAUAAUGGGCAAUGGGGGGAACUCUGAUGCAGCGACGCCGCGUGAGCGGUGAAGGAGUUCGUUUCGUAAAGCUCUGUUCUAUGAGAAGAAAGGGACUGUACCAUAGGAAAAAGCCCCGGCUAAAUACGUG
rnacentral:rRNA from 1 species